rnacentral:lncRNA from 1 species
AGCGCGUGAUUCCUACCGAGACCACUUCCAAAAAUAUCGCGCACAUGGUUGAAAAUUCCCCUUUUUACCUUACAUCUAUACACCUGGAAGUCUGGGCUGAGAAUGAUUUCUAGCAGACAAUAUCUGCACGAGCUAAAUUUUCCCCGGGAAUUCAAUCGAGCUCUCUGAUUGGUUGAGAAGGGAAAACAUUUUUAAUGCUAAUGCGAGGUUCGUUACGUCACUAAAAUUUAAUGAAUGAAAUAAAAAUCGGAAAGUAAUAAAAUAAUAAAAAGCAAUCUUUCUGGAAAAAUAAUUAAAAAUAGUAAUAAUGAAAUAAAUAAAUGAACCAAAUAAAGUGACCCACAAACGUUACAUUACCCCCUUUCCCACAGAACAGAUAUGUCCGCAUAUCUGGCAAAAUCCAUGUGCUAGUUAACGCGCGCUGCUAUGCAAAGCUGGUGGUCUCGGGUGCAAGAAAUCAAAAUUUUCAAUUAAGAUUAAAACAUCUCCCCUCCUGAAAUAUACAAAUAAUUAUACAAGCUGAAAAAAUAUAUUUACUCCACAUUAUUACGAAAAAAUAUAUCUCAGCCACCACCAACCACUCCACAUUAAAAUGUAUAUAUAUCUAUAAUAAGUGACAACAAAUGGCAUUAUUGAUUUUUAUUUUCUAAGAGAAAGCUUAACAGCCCUCUUUAAGGAAUAAUAAUAAGUCCUCAUUUUGGUUUUAUUCAAAUGGACACCAUCUGUUGUCAAUAGAAAUUUUGAUGUCAACCUCUUUGGUGUCCAAUACACUAGAAAACCUUUAAACUCCCUUUUUGUCAAAUUUACAAGUUCCAGAUUAAUCUGGGCUCUUCUGCCUGCAUAUACAGACCUUGAAACUCUAGUUUUCAACCUAUGAAACAAUUGAACUAUAACCACCUUUUUUACAUUUUUAGACUUCAAAUGUCUCAAAAACUCUUUAAAAGUCUCUAUAAAAGUAUUAACCUUGAAAUUAUGGCUAUCUAUGUCAUUACCUCCAAUUUGUAACACUAC